GCCUUCGUAGCUCAGUGGAACAGAGCACCGGCAUCCGAGGCCGAUGGUCGCUGGUUCGAAUCCAGUCGAGGGCAC
rnacentral:tRNA from 1 species